rnacentral:rRNA from 1 species
AGUGAACGCUGGCGGUAGGCCUAACACAUGCAAGUCGAACGGCAGCACAGUAAGAGCUUGCUCUUACGGGUGGCGAGUGGCGGACGGGUGAGGAAUACAUCGGAAUCUACUUUUUCGUGGGGGAUAACGUAGGGAAACUUACGCUAAUACCGCAUACGACCUACGGGUGAAAGCAGGGGAUCUUCGGACCUUGCGCGAUUGAAUGAGCCGAUGUCGGAUUAGCUAGUUGGCGGGGUAAAGGCCCACCAAGGCGGCGAUCCGUAGCUGGUCUGAGAGGAUGAUCAGCCACACUGGAACUGAGACACGGUCCAGACUCCUACGGGAGGCAGUAGUGGGGAAUAUUGGACAAUGGGCGCAAGCCUGAUCCAGCCAUACCGCGUGGGUGAAGAAGGCCUUCGGGUUGUAAAGCCCUUUUGUUGGGAAAGAAAAGCAGCAGGUUAAUACCCCGCUGUUCUGACGGUACCCAAAGAAUAAGCACCGGCUAACUUCGUG